GAAUAGUAGGGGAAUGCUGUAAGUCCUCUGUAUUGUUGCACUUCUGAUCUGCAACAGCCAUUGUCUGUCCCUCAUUUGUGACCAGAAUAUUCUGUGGACAGGUCCUUUUCAAGUUACUGAGCGGACAGCCACAGCAGUACAUCUUGAAGGGGGACACAUGGUUCCACAUCUCGUCUACACGACCCGCCAGGUCCGCCUCAGGCUCAGUAAUCCCUCCACCUGACGACAACCGGAAAACCGCGUCUCCAGUGCCGGCUGGCACCCUUCGAUGACAUCAUUCUACAAGGGUUGAUUUCACGGUACACGGGCACCAUAAUCCCGGUGAAUCAACCUGGGACCAAGUAGUCUAACCCCAAGGUCCAGAAGGAGCCGACUGCGCCCCAGCUCGACUCAUCCCAGAGGAAAAGGUCCCCUCUCCGUGAUGUUCAACAUGAGUCCCUCUUCGACAUAGACAUUGGCAGGGAUGGCCAUCGUCUGGGUCGUAGCCAUCCUGGUGCGGUCAGGGGUCAUUGCAGAAGCAACCUCAGGAUGUCCCCAAUUGAUUACUGCCGCCAUUGAGAAAAAGGAUAUUUAUGUUCCUCCACCCUAUAUGAUGGCUGAAUUGCUUCCUCCUCCAUGCUUGUCCGUUGUACCACACGCUCCAAACGAUGACGCGGCUGGAAUUUUCCUUUAAUUCUGUUUAUUUCGGCGUCCGAAAGAGGGAUUGAAGUGUAUUAUCGAUGUGUAUCUUUUUAUUGAUGUGUAUCUUUUGCUCACACAUGCCAAAUCAUCAGUUAACCUUACUGGAGAGACCAGGGCAUAGGAAUGUGCCAGUUAUUACCAGCUUAGUCAUUAUGAUGAAGAUAGUUUGUGAUGCUCUUAUUUUAUGAUGCAGUUUUCUUUGUGGUGUUCUUUAUUUGUGAUGACGCUGUUUAUUUUCCUUUUAUACGUUUGUGAUGUGGACCCUGAUGAAUAGUAGGGGAAUGUUGUAAGUCCUCUGUAUCUUUGCACUUCUGAUCUGCUACAGCCAUUGUCUGUCACUCAUUUGUGCCCAGAAUAUUCUGUAAGUAAAAGCUUCGAAAAAACUGUUCAUCUCCAGCCUGUAUUUGGAUAACCAACAUUCUCACUACCCGAAAUUAAACGAACACGCGGGGAGGAAAAAAGCGUCCUCCAACACCAGUCACCAGUUUUCCACUUGCAUGUAGCUUCAUAAAUUCAAUUUAAACUCAAAAUAGCAACAAUUAUGCUGUAACAACUGGAACACGUGUUGUAAAUAAAUUGUUACUCUACAUUGUGAAUUCACAUUUGAACGAUGAUUUACCAAAAUAACCAGUUACCAUUUUAAAAAUAUGAGGUGUGCAGCAUGGAAUUUCAUCAUCUCCAGCCUGUAUUUGGAUAACCAACAUUCUCACUACCUGAAAUUAAACGAACACGCGGGGAGGAAAAAAGCGUCCUCCAACACCAGUCACCAGUUUUCCACUUGCAUGUAGCUUCAUAAAUUCAAUUUAAACUCAAAAUAGCAACAAUUAUGCUGUAACAACUGGAACACUUGUUGUAUAUAAAUUGUUACUCUACAUUGUGAAUUCACAUUUGAACAAUGAUUUACCAAAAUAACCAGUUACCAUUUUAAAAAUAUGAGGUGUGCAGCAUGGAAUGCAUGGUGCCUGACUUGCAGGGGUGGCCAACCCAUGGCACUUUAGCUCCUUUCAUGCGACUCUCAUGAAUGCACGAAAGCAUAUCAAAGUUCUCUUUAUGUGGCUGCACACGCACGUGGGCUUUGCUUGAGUUCCUUUCGGUAGUGGCGAGCGAGCGUUGCUUGCAUUUAUUCCGGUAUUUGCGUGCGCGCUUUGCUUGAGUUUAUUCCGGUUGUUAUAGGUAUUGUGACAACAAGGUCGGUGUGCGUUGAUGGAUAAGUGAAACAGGACUGCGCAGCAUACUGUAUGCAGCGGGAGGGUGAGAAGGGAAAAAAGGGACGAUGCCAACCAGGGGAGAGUGCCUUUACUGUUCUCCUCACCCAGCUCAACUGUGCAACGACAGAAGGAAGCGUUAAAACCAGAGUAGGAGGACCUCAGCAUGGAGAAGACGUCUCCCAACCACAGUCACGUGACCGCAGCAGGAAAGCUUUCUGCAAACCUGCCUUUCACAUUGAAUGUAAAUAGCUUGAAGUUUCCCAGUCAGAUGACGAUGUUUAUAGAAUUUAAUUUGCCAAUUUCACUCUGAAAAUGCUAGGGAGAAGAAGGAGUAAAACAAAAAUAUGUGGAUGAACAAAGGACGUUUUUACCAGUCAGGGAAGCUCAUAUUGUUGAGCGCAACGGCCAGCCACUCUUUGCCUUUUGUGUUAGACGUCUAUAGCAUUUCACAGCUUCAAAUCUUCACUCCAGCUCAUUCCAAGGUAACAUAGACCAGGAAUUUCCAAAAGGAACUAAACUUCCCAGUCACAACUUAAUCACUUUGAAAAAUCACACUGAAAAGCAGAUGGCUUUUUUUUUUAAAUGAAGCCUCCAGAGACGAAUGCUUGCAUCAUAUCAACUGGCUUGUGAUAUUUACAAUAAAGCUGGCUGUGUGAAGGCAUGUGUGCGAGGAGGGAAUGAUAUUCAUGUGUAUGAUAUAGCUCUUUGAUGUCUAUGACCUAUCUCUUUGCCAAGAAACAGUAAAAAAUGUUGCUCUUCAUCUCUGACUUGUUGGCCACCCCUAACUGGUAGAACACCAGCCUCAGUUCUGAGGACCAGGGUUCAAAUGCCAGGACAGCCUGGUUGGGUUUUGUCAGGGCGCUCCUCCCACAUCCCACAAAAAAAUUGGAGACACUAAAUUGCCCUGUUAUCGUGAGUGUGAAUGUUUGGUUGUUUGUAUCUGCGAUUGGCUGGCAACCAAUUCAGGGUGUACCCCGUCCGGUGAUAGCUCGGAUAGGCGCCGGCACUCCCGAAACCUUUGUAAGGACAAGCAGCUCAGAAAAUGGAUAGAUCAUGUAAGGUCAUGAAAGCAUUUUUAUAGUAUGACUAUACCAAUCAAUUGUCAUUUACAUUUUCAGCAGUCAAUGUGUAAAACGGUGUACUAACAUUGACAAGGGUUUUCUUUUGGCAAGUAGAAUUCUGAUAUAAGAAAAAUAAAACAAUAAUAGUGUCACAAAUUAAAUCCUUUGUUGACAUUGACAGAUUUGCACCUCAAAUCAGGUAGUGGGCAUGUAAUACUAUUUAUCCAGUUGCUUGCUGUACAACUGGAAAUGGAAUAAAGCUCGUGCACGUGACGUCACAGUUUGUAUGGCGUCAUAUUGUUGGUCAAACCUAGCUGCUUGGCAGUGCGUGAGUCGUUGAACUGGAGCAGAUUUUUCAAACUGCCCACGAUCUGUUGUGCUGUUGGUUGUCACAAUAAAUGAGAGGUUAACGUGUGGCCGCAAUCGCUUCCGUGUACAUUCCGUGGAGACAACUCCGUCCUCUUUUUUUUCCCACUAAUAGUUAAUGAAUGCGAGUUUGUGUAAAACCAGGGGUCAUUUAUUUAAAUAUUGGUAUUUGUAUUGAAUACUACCUUAAAAGAUUGAUGGAUUCCGGCAAAGGUUAACGUGUGGCCGAAUGCGCUUCCACGUUCACGAGCCGUCAACCCGUCGUCUUUUUUUAUUCAAUCAUAGUUAAUGAAUGCGAGUUUGUGUAAAAGCAGGGGUCAUUUAUUUAAAUAUUGGUAUUUGUGUUGAGCGGCUAGAAAGCGUUGACCUCAGAGUUCUGAGGUCCCGGGUUCGAUCCCGGACACGCCUGUGUGGAGUUUGCAUGUUUCCCCGUGCCUGCGUGGGUUUUCUCCAGGCACUCCGGUUUCCUCCCACAUCCCAAAAACAUGCAACAUUAAUUGGACACUCUAAAUUGCCCUUAGGUGUGAUUGUGAGUGUGGCUGUUUGUCUUGUUCUGCCCUGCAAUUGGCUGGCAACCAGUUCAGGGUGUAUCCCGCUACCUGGUGUACAACUACAGGAAACGUUUGACCUCUGUAAUUGCAAACAAAGGCUACUGUACCAAAUAUAAACAUUGGUUUUCUCAGGUGUUCAAAUACUUAUUUGUAGCUGGAUCACACAAAUAAAUUGUUAAAAAAAAUCAUACAUAGUGAUUUCUGGAUUUUUCUUUUUUGAUUAUCUCUCUCACAGUGGACAUGCACCUACGAUGAAGAUUUCAGACCUCUCCAUGAUUUCUAAGUGGGAGUACUUGCAAUAUAGCAGGAUGUUCCAAUACUUGUUUUUUUUCACUGCACAUGUGUAUAUCCAGUUGUCCAAGACAAGCGGAAUUGAAUUAACAGUACAAUUUCUUAUCUUCUUCUUUGACCAGCAAUAUAGCCAGUCACGUGAUUUCAGUGAUGUCGGUGUUUUGUCCGAUACCGUUAAACAUUUAGAAGGUGAUAAUCAACGAAGGUACGUGGAAAAAUGAGAGACGUUUGGCAUAGACAACCCAUAUUUAAUGCUGCAGUCGAUGUUUUCGGCGAUGAGAAAUUGGACCGUUAAUUCACUUCUUGCUUGUCUUGGA